GGUCCAGACUCCUACGGGAGGCAGCAGUGAGGAAUAUUGGUCAAUGGCCGGAAGGCUGAACCAGCCAAGUCGCGUGAGGGAAUAAGGCCCUAUGGGUCGUAAACCUCUUUUGUCAGGGAGCAAAGGCGUCCACGUGUGGACGAGAGGAGAGUACCUGAAGAAAAAGCAUCGGCUAACUCCGUGCCAGCAGCCGCGGUAAUACGGAGGAUGCGAGCGUUAUCCGGAUUUAUUGGGUUUAAAGGGUGCGCAGGCGGGCUGUUAAGCCGGCGGUAAAAAUUCAGGGCUCAACCCUGUCGAGCCGUCGGAACUGGCAGUCUUGAGUGGGCGAGAAGUAUGCGGAAUGCGUGGUGUAGCGGUGAAAUGCAUAGAUAUCACGCAGAACGCCGAUUGCGAAGGCAGCAUACCGGCGCCCAACUGACGCUGAGGCACGAAAGCGUGGGGAUCGAACAGGAUUAGAUACCCCCGUAU
rnacentral:rRNA from 1 species